rnacentral:rRNA from 1 species
UACGUAGGUGGCAAGCGUUGUCCGGAUUUACUGGGCGUAAAGAGCGCGCAGGCGGUCGAUCAAGUCGCGUGUGAAAGCCCCGGCUCAACUGGGAGGGUCACGCGAUACUGAUCGACUCGAAGGCAGGAGAGGGUAGUGGAAUUCCCGGUGUAGUGGUGAAAUGCGUAGAUAUCGGGAGGAACACCAGUGGCGAAGGCGACUACCUGGCCUGUUCUUGACGCUGAGGCGCGAAAGCUAGGGAGCAAACGGG